rnacentral:sRNA from 2 species
ACUCAACGCUUAUUCUUUUAAAAAAGGUGAGUUUAAGUUGUAAAAUUGUGCUGACUAGAUCAGAUCUUUGAUCAACUUAUUAGCCUUAAACUUGAUUUAAAGGAGUUU